rnacentral:rRNA from 1 species
GAUGAACGCUGGCGGCGUGCCUAAUACAUGCAAGUCGAGCGAACAGACGAGGAGCUUGCUCCUCUGACUUUAGCGGCGGACGGGUGAGUAACACGUGGAUAACCUACCUAUAAGACUGGGAUAACUUCGGGAAACCGGAGCUAAUACCGGCUAAUAUUUUGAACCGCAUGGUUCAAUAGUUAAAGACGGUUUUGCUUUCACUUAUCGAUGGAUCCGCGCCGCAUUAGCUAGUUGGUAAGGUAACGGCUUACCAAGGCGACGAUGCGUAGCCGACCUGAGAGGGUGAUCGGCCACACUGGAACUGAGACACGGUCCAGACUCCUACGGGAGGCAGCAGUAGGGAAUCUUCCGCAAUGGGCGAAAGCCUGACGGAGCAACGCCGCGUGAGUGAUGAAGGUCUUCGGAUCGUAAAACUCUGUUAUUAGGGAAGAACAAAUGUGUAAGUAACUAUGCACGUCUUGACGGUACCUAAACAGAAAGCCACGGCUAACUACGUG